rnacentral:rRNA from 1 species
CUACGGGGGGCUGCAGUGAGGAAUAUUGCACAAUGGGGGGAACCCCGAUGCAGCAACGCCGCGUGGAGGAUGACGCAUUUCGGUGUGUAAACUCCUUUUAUAUGUCAAGAAAAUGACGGUAGCAUAUGAAUAAGCACCGGCUAACUCCGUGCCAGCAGCCGCGGUGAAUAAGGGAGGGUGCAAGCGUUACUCGGAAUCACUGGGCGUAAAGGACGCGUAGGCGGGGUGGAAAGUCAGGUGUGAAAUCCUACAGCUUAACUGUAGAACUGCACUUGAAACUUCUAAUCUAGAGUAUGGGAGGGGGAGAUGGAAUUAGUGGUGUAGGGGUAAAAUCCGUAGAUAUCACUAGGAAUACCUAAAGCGAAGGCGAUCUCCUGGAACAUUACUGACGCUAAGGCGUGAAAGCGUGGGGAGCAAACAGGAUUAGAUACCCCUGUAGUC